rnacentral:rRNA from 1 species
UACGUAGGGUGCGAGCGUUAAUCGGAAUUACUGGGCGUAAAGCGUGCGCAGGCGGUUCGCUAAGACCGAUGUGAAAUCCCCGGGCUUAACCUGGGAACUGCAUUGGUGACUGGCGAGCUAGAGUGUGGCAGAGGGGGUAGAAUUCCACGUGUAGCAGUGAAAUGCGUAGAGAUGUGGAGGAAUACCGAUGGCGAAGGCAGCCCCCUGGGCUAACACUGACGCUCAUGCACGAAAGCGUGGGGAGCAAACAGG